rnacentral:rRNA from 1 species
UUGCUAUCUGCUGACGAGCGGCGGACGGGUGAGUAAUGCUUGGGAAUAUGCCUUUGAGUGGGGGACAACGGUUGGGAACGACUGCUAAUACCGCAUAACGUCUACGGACCAAAGGGGGGGACUCUUCGGAACCUCUCGCUCAUUGAUUAGCCCAAGUGAGAUUAGCUAGUUGGUAAGGUAAUGGCUCACCAAGGCGACGAUCUCUAGCUGGUUUGAGAGGAUGAUCAGCCACACUGGGACUGAGACACGGCCCAGACUCCUACGGGAGGCAGCAGUGGGGAAUAUUGCACAAUGGGCGAAAGCCUGAUGCAGCCAUGCCGCGUGUGUGAAGAAGGCCUUCGGGUUGUAAAGCACUUUCAGCGAGGAGGAAAGGGAUGUAGUUAAUAACUGCAUUCUGUGACGCUACUCGCAGAAGAAGCACCGGCUAACUUCGUGCCAGCAGCCGCGGUAAUACGAGGGGUGCAAGCGUUAAUCGGAAUUACUGGGCGUAAAGCGUGCGUAGGUGGUUUGUUAAGCAAGAUGUGAAAGCCCUGGGCUCAACCUGGGAACUGCAUUUUGAACUGGCAAGCUAUAGUUUUUGUAGAGUGUAGUG